rnacentral:rRNA from 1 species
UCGGUGCUAGUGGCAGACGGGUGAGUAACGCGUGGGAACGUGCCUUUCGGUUCGGAAUAAUUCAGGGAAACUUGGACUAAUACCGGAUACGCCCUUCGGGGGAAAGAUUUAUCGCCGAAAGAUCGGCCCGCGUCUGAUUAGCUAGUUGGUGAGGUAAUGGCUCACCAAGGCGACGAUCAGUAGCUGGUCUGAGAGGAUGAUCAGCCACAUUGGGACUGAGACACGGCCCAAACUCCUACGGGAGGCAGCAGUGGGGAAUAUUGGACAAUGGGCGCAAGCCUGAUCCAGCCAUGCCGCGUGAGUGAUGAAGGCCUUAGGGUUGUAAAGCUCUUUUGUCCGGGAAGAUAAUGACUGUACCGGAAGAAUAAGCCCCGGCUAACUUCGUGCCAGCAGCCGCGGUAAUACGAAGGGGGCUAGCGUUGCUCGGAAUCACUGGGCGUAAAGGGCGCGUAGGCGGACUCUUAAGUCGGGGGUGAAAGCCCAGGGCUCAACCCUGGAAUUGCCUUCGAUACUGGGAGUCUU